UCCGUGGAGGACUAGUGGUUAGGCCACAGUGCUCUCACUGCUGCGGCCUGCGUUCGAUCCCCUGCAGGGGAA